GUGCCAGCAGCCGCGGUAAUACGGAGGGUGCAAGCGUUAAUCGGAAUUACUGGGCGUAAAGGGCGCGUAGGCGGUUUGGUAAGCGAGUUGUGAAAGCCCCGGGCUCAACCUGGGAAUGGCAAUUCGAACUGCCAGGCUAGAAUGCAGCAGAGGGCAGUGGAAUUCCAGGUGUAGCGGUGAAAUGCGUUGAUAUCUGGAGGAACACCAGUGGCGAAGGCGACUGCCUGGGCUGACAUUGACGCUGAGGUGCGAAAGCGUGGGUAGCAAACAGGAUUAGAAACCCGAGUAGUCC
rnacentral:rRNA from 1 species